UACAGAGGUCCCAAGCGUUGUCCGGAUUCAUUGGGCGUAAAGGGUGCGUAGGCGGCGCGGUAAGUCGGGUGUGAAAUCUCGGGGCUUAACUCCGAAACUGCAUUCGAUACUGCCGUGCUUGAGGACUGGAGAGGAGACUGGAAUUUACGGUGUAGCGGUGAAAUGCGUAGAUAUCGUAAGGAAGACCGGUGGCGAAGGCGGGUCUCUGGACAGUUCCUGACGCUGAGGCACGAAGGCCAGGGGAGCAAACGGG
rnacentral:rRNA from 1 species